rnacentral:rRNA from 1 species
AUGCAUACAUUAAAUCUGCCCAUCUCAGUGCAAAAAACAUGUAUCUAUCUAUACACAAGAUGCAUGGAUGCUUAUGUAUGCCACCAUAAACAUGAAGUACAAGAGAACAAUUUUCCCCAAUGUAACAAACAGAAAAAUCAGAGGGGGGAAAAUGAGUUCAAACUAAUGGUCAAAUUAAAAGAAGUUCGAUUAGACGCUUUCUUGGACGCCUUUUUGCAACCGACAAGUACUCUACAUAAAGAUAAAUCCAUAGCUAUACUCUAUCCAUCAGAACAAUACCCAGCCACAAUCUCCCCUUCCAAAAGUGAAAACAAAUUUUUACUAGGUAUAUUCCCCUUGCGUAAAGCCUUGGCGCAGUGGUAA